GACGUAGGAGGCGAGCGUUGUCCGGAUUCAUUGGGCGUAAAGAGCACGCAGGCGGUUUGGCAAGUCGGAUGUGAAAACCCGGAGCUCAACUCCGGGCGUGCAUCCGAUACUGCCCGACUAGAGGUAGGUAGGGGAGAUCGGAAUUCCUGGUGUAGCGGUGAAAUGCGCAGAUAUCAGGAGGAACACCGGUGGCGAAGGCGGAUCUCUGGGCCUUACCUGACGCUGAGGAGCGAGAGCGUGGGGAGCGAACAGG
rnacentral:rRNA from 1 species